UACGCAGGGUGCAGACGUUGCUCGGAAUCAUUGGGCGUAAAGCGCACGUAGGCGGCUUCGCAAGUCGGAUGUGAAAUCCCAUGGCUCAACCAUGGACGUGCAUUCGAAACUGCGAAGCUUGAGUAUGGAAGAGGGUCGCGGAAUUCCCGGUGUAGAGGUGAAAUUCGUAGAUAUCGGGAGGAACACCAGUGGCGAAGGCGGCGACCUGGGCCAAUACUGACGCUGAGGUGCGAAAGCGUGGGGAGCAAACAGG
rnacentral:rRNA from 1 species